CACGUAGGGUGCGAGCGUUGUCCGGAAUUAUUGGGCGUAAAGCGCACGUAGGCGGCUUUGCAAGUCGGAUGUGAAAUCCCUCGGCUCAACCAAGGAAGUGCAUCCGAAACUGCAGAGCUUGAGUACCAAAGAGGAUCGCGGAAUUCCCGGUGUAGAGGUGAAAUUCGUAGAGAUCGGGAGGAACACCUGUGGCGAAGGCGGCCGACUGGGCCGACCCUGACGCUGAGGCGCGAAGGCGUGGGGAGCGAACGGG
rnacentral:rRNA from 1 species